rnacentral:rRNA from 1 species
GGUUGCUAUCAUACCAGCACUAAUGCACCGGAUCCCAUCAGAACUCCGCAGUUAAGCGUGCUUGGGCGAGAGUAGUACUAGGAUGGGUGACCCCCUGGGAAGUCCUCGUGUUGCAACCCC